rnacentral:rRNA from 1 species
GUACACUCCUGCGGGAGGCAGCAGUAGGGAAUCUUCGGCAAUGGGGGCAACCCUGACCGAGCAACGCCGCGUGAGUGAAGAAGGUUUUCGGAUCGUAAAGCUCUGUUGUAAGUCAAGAACGAGUGUGAGAGUGGAAAGUUCACACUGUGACGGUAGCUUACCAGAAAGGGACGGCUAACUACGUGCCAGCAGCCGCGGUAAUACGUAGGUCCCGAGCGUUGUCCGGAUUUAUUGGGCGUAAAGCGAGCGCAGGCGGUUUGAUAAGUCUGAAGUUAAAGGCUGUGGCUCAACCAUAGUUCGCUUUGGAAACUAUCAAACUUGAGUGCAGAAGGGGAGAGUGGAAUUCCAUGUGUAGCGGUGAAAUGCGUAGAUAUAUGGAGGAACACCGGUGGCGAAAGCGGCUCUCUGGUCUGUAACUGACGCUGAGGCUCGAAAGCGUGGGGAGCGAACAGGAUUAGAUACCCUGGUAGUCCCA